AUUGAACGCUGGCGGCAGGCUUAACACAUGCAAGUAGAACGAGUGGCGGAAGGGUGAGUCAUGCUUGAGAAUCUAGAUUAUGGAGGGGGAUAACUACUGGGAAGUGUAGCUAAUACCGCGUACCAUCGGCUGAGCCAAAGUGGGAUUAGGUAGUUGGUUGGGGAAAGGCUCACCAAGCCGACGAUCUCUAGCUGGCCUGAGAGGAUGACCAGCCACGCGGGGACUUGUACACGGCACAGACUCCGACGGGAGGCAGCAGGGGGUAAUAUUGCGCAAGGGGGGCAACCUGACGCAGCCAUGCCGCGUGAAUGAAUAAGGCCUUCGGGUUGUAAAGUACUUUCAGUAGCGAGGCGGUAACGAAAGAAGAAGCACCGGCUAACUCCGUGCCAGCAGCCGCGGUAAUUC
rnacentral:rRNA from 1 species